rnacentral:misc_RNA from 1 species
UGGCAAGGAAAGUGGCCGGAUGUCUG